AGAGCGAACGCUGGCGGCAUGCCUAACACAUGCAAGUCGCACGGUCGGGGGGAGACUUCCGGCAGUGGCGGACGGGUGAGUAACGCGUAGGGAUCUAUCCUUGGAUGGGGGACAACCGCGGGAAACCGCGGCUAAUACCGCAUGAUGCCUGAGGGCCAAAGCUCGCGAGAGCGUCUGGGGAGGAGCCUGCGUCCGAUUAGCUUGUUGGUAAGGUAAUGGCUUACCAAGGCGACGAUCGGUAGCUGGUCUGAGAGGAUGAUCAGCCACACUGGGACUGAGACACGGCCCAGACUCCUACGGGAGGCAGCAGUGGGGAAUAUUGGACAAUGGGCGCAAGCCUGAUCCAGCAAUGCCGCGUGGGUGAAGAAGGUCUUCGGAUUGUAAAGCCCUUUCGGCGGGACGAUGAUGACGGUACCCGCAGAAGAAGCCCCGGCUAACUUCGCGUCAGCAGCCGC
rnacentral:rRNA from 1 species